AUGGUCGGAGACAAGACUCUUAAAGACACCGUGGGGUGGGUCCUGAAAAAAACAAUGAACUCUUCGUGGUGAGACUCAUCAAUUGAAGUGGGGUCAACUGAAGCCUGCAUUCAAAGGGCUCACUUUGAAAAGUGUGGUUUUGGAUGCAGUCCGCCGGAAUGCCCUGACCAAAGAUAACACAGAAAAGGAGAUAGAGCUCCUCAUCACCAGGUGGUCGGUGCUAGCAUAUGACAGGGAUGGUGGCCGAAUCCAGACAAUAGACAGACAAUGAAUUAAAAUGUUUUAAAUUUAAAAAUGUUGAUUUUUGGAAAAUUCGUAUUUGAACUGAUUGUGUGUGUGUGUGCACCUGGUAAUUAUCACGUUGUGUCCCCACAAAGAUAGGAAUACCAGUAUUUUUGUGACCUUGUGUCCCCAUGAGGAAACAAGCUUAUAAAUCAAACAAAAUGAUGUUUCUUGUAAAUGUGAAGUAGGAGAAGGGUUUCUGUGAUGGUUGGGUUUAGGGAAUGGGGUAGGUAAGGGGAAUAAAAUAUACAGUUUGUAUGGUAUAAAAUGCAUUACGUCUAUGGAAUGUCCCCACAAAACAUGGAAACCUGUUUGUGUGUACGAGAGAGAGAGAAUGUGUGUUCAAGUGAAUAAAAAAUGCAUUAAACGUGAAA